GGCUUUUUGAUGAUAAUUUAAGGUCUGACCUGCCCAAUGAUAAAGUAUUAAAUGGCCGCGGUAUUUUGACCGUGCAAAGGUAGCAUAAUCAUUAGUUUUUUAAUUGAAAGCUUGUAUGAAGGGUUUAAUGAAAAAAUAGCUGUCUCUAUUUAAAUUUUUUAGAAGUUUAUUUUUAAGUUAAAAAGCUUAAAUGAGUAUCAAAGACGAGAAGACCCUAUAGAGUUUUAUAGUUUUAUGGAGUUAUUAUAUUUUAGGAUUAUUUUAAUGAUUUUUGUAAGAUUAUUUGGUUGGGGUGAUUGAAAAAUUAGUAAAACUUUUUUAUAUAAAAUUUCACUGAUUUGUGAAUUUUUGAUCUUUAUUAAAGAUUAAUAGAUAAAAUUACCUUAGGGAUAACAGCGUAAUUUUUUUUAGAGUUCUUAUCGAAAAAAAAGAUUGCGACCUCGAUGUUGGAUUAAAAUGAAUUGCUGGUGUAGAAGCUGGCGAGGCAGGUCUGUUCGACCUUUAGAUUUUUACAUGAUCUGAGUUUAAACCGGUGUGAG
rnacentral:rRNA from 1 species